CGAGGUUGUCGUGUGUUGUACGGAGCUCCGCUAAAUUCUUUUCCAUGUGCAAGUUGUGGCGCGUCAGCUUGGUGUGGUUCAUCUGAUUUGAGACCCAUGGCAUCAUCAAGUGCCCUCCUUAGCUGGAUCUGAAGUGAACACCAGGAAACUGGAAUUCACCCCAGGCAUCUCAUGCUGGGAGAAGGAAAGGCCUUCUGCCAGCUGGAGGAGGAACUUCCAUCCCAGAAGGGGUUUUCACACAGUACUGACUGCUGCGUCAGACCAGCUUGCUGGAGAGACAGAGCUGAGACAAAAAGUCAGCGAUGGGCAGGACUACUUAGGACUCGGACUGCUUAGAUGUGAGCAUCUUUAAUCUCACGGAGGACCACGAAGAUGGACAGAAGAGGGACACUGGAUGGAUUUCUUCGUCCCUCUUCUCGAUGCGGCCUCAUUGAUUAAAUACCCUUUCUGCUUUUUACUAUUA